AUUUUAAUAGCUUAUUAAGAGCUUUACAUUGAAGAUGUAGUGGUGGUAUAUUUACCUUAAAAUA
rnacentral:tRNA from 1 species